rnacentral:rRNA from 1 species
UGAGGAAUAUUGGUCAAUGGACGGAAGUCUGAACCAGCCAAGUAGCGUGCAGGAUGACGGCCCUAUGGGUUGUAAACUGCUUUUGUAUGGGGAUAAAGUUAGGGACGUGUCCCUAUUUGCAGGUACCAUACGAAUAAGGACCGGCUAAUUCCGUGCCAGCAGCCGCGGUAAUACGGAAGGUCCAGGCGUUAUCCGGAUUUAUUGGGUUUAAAGGGAGCGUAGGCUGGAGAUUAAGUGUGUUGUGAAAUGUAGACGCUCAACGUCUGAAUUGCAGCGCAUACUGGUUUCCUUGAGUACGCACAACGUUGGCGGAAUUCGUCGUGUAGCGGUGAAAUGCUUAGAUAUGACGAAGAACUCCGAUUGCGAAGGCAGCUGACGGGAGCGCAACUGACGCUUAAGCUCGAAGGUGCGGGUAUCAAACAGGAUUAGAUACCUUGGUAGUCCGCACAGUAAACGAUGGAUGCCCGCUGUUGGUACCUGGUAUCAGCGGCUAAGCGAAAGCAUUAAGCAUCCCACCUGGGGAGUACGCCGGCAACGGUG